GGCAGGCCUAAUACAUGCAAGUCGAGGGGUAAGGCUCACUUCGGUGGGUACACGACCGGCGCACGGGUGCGUAACGCGUAUGCAACCUACCUAUAACUGGAGGAUAGCCCCGAGAAAUCGGGAUUAAUACUCCAUAACAACAUUUUUUGGCAUCAUUAGAUGUUUAAAGCUCCGGCGGUUAUAGAUGGGCAUGCGUGACAUUAGUUAGUUGGUGAGGUAACGGCUCACCAAGACUACGAUGUCUAGGGGUUCUGAGAGGAAGAUCCCCCACACUGGUACUGAGACACGGACCAGACUCCUACGGGAGGCAGCAGUAAGGAAUAUUGCGCAAUGGAGGAAACUCUGACGCAGCCAUGCCGCGUGAAGGAUGAAGGCCUUAUGGGUCGUAAACUUCUUUUAUCAGGGAAUAAACCCUCGCUCGUGAGCGAGGCUGAAGGUACCUGAAGAAUAAGCACCGGCUAACUCCGUGCCAGCAGCCGCGGUAAUACGGAGGGUGCAAGCGUUAUCCGGAUUCAUUGGGUUUAAAGGGUGCGCAGGCGGACUUUUAAGUCAGUGGUGAAAUCCCG
rnacentral:rRNA from 1 species